AUUGAACGCUGGCGGCAUGCUUUACACAUGCAAGUCGAACGGUAACAGGGUGCUUGCACCGCUGACGAGUGGCGAACGGGUGAGUAAUGCGUCGGAACGUGCCGAGUAGUGGGGGAUAACGCAGCGAAAGUUGUGCUAAUACCGCAUACGUACUGAGGUAGAAAGUGGGGGACCUUCGGGCCUCACGCUAUUCGAGCGGCCGACGUCUGAUUAGCUAGUAGGUGAGGUAAAGGCUCACCUAGGCGACGAUCAGUAGCGGGUCUGAGAGGAUGAUCCGCCACCCUGGGACUGAGACACGGCCAAGACUCCUACGGGAGGCAGCAGUGGGGAAUUUUGGACAAUGGGCGAAAGCCUGAUCCAGCCAUGCCGCGUGUCUGAAGAAGGCCUUCGGGUUGUAAAGGACUUUUGUCGGGGAGGAAAUCCCCAGCGUUAAUACCGCUGGGGGAUGACAGUACCUGAAGAAUAAGCACCGGCUAACUACGUGCCAGCCGCCGCCGUAACAC
rnacentral:rRNA from 1 species